UUAUGGUUUAAUAAUUUUAUUAUAAAUUUAUUUUACAUAUAAAUUUUAGUGUUAAAUUUUAAUUAUUUUAAUAAUAAUUAAUUAAUUUUUGUAGUAAUUAAUAUUAAAAAUUUAAGAAAUUAAGAUUUAGUAAUAUUUUAAUUAAUAACAAAUUUUGUGCCAGCAGUUGCGGUUAAACAAAAGUUAAAUUAAAUUUUAUUAGUAAUUAAUAAAUAAUUUAAAUUAUAUUUAAUUAAAUUUUAAAUUAUUAAGUGAAAUUUUAAUUUAAUUAAAAUUAAUUUUUAAUUUAUAAUUUAAUAAAUUUUAUUUAUAAACUAGGAUUAGAUACCCUAUUAUUAAAAACUUAAAUUAAUAAUACUUAAAUAGUAUAUAAUUAUUUAUUGAAACUUAAAUAAUUUGGCGGUAUUUUAGUUCAUUUAGAGGAAUCUGUUUAAUAAUUGAUAAUCCACGAAUAAAUUUACUUAAUUUAUCAUUUUGUAUAUCGUUGUUAUAAAAAUAUUUUAAAAUAAUAAAUAAUAUUUAAAAAUUAAAAUAAUAAAUUAAAUCAGAUCAAGAUGCAGAUUAUAAUUAAGAAUAUAAUGGAUUACAAUAAAUUUAUUUAUUAACUGAUUUUAUUUUGUAAAAUAUAAUUGAAGGUGGAUUUAAAUGUAAUUUUAUUUAGUUUAUUAAAAUGAUUAAAAAUUAAAGUAUGUACAUAUUGCCCGUCGCUUUCAUAAAUAAAUUGGAAUAAGUCGUAACAAAGUAGAGGUACUGGAAAGUGUUUCUAGAAAUAA
rnacentral:ncRNA from 1 species